rnacentral:rRNA from 1 species
ACAUGCAAGUCGAGCGGUAAGGCCCUUCGGGGUACACGAGCGGCGAACGGGUGAGUAACACGUGAGCAACCUGCCCCUGACUCCGGGAUAAGCGGUGGAAACGCCGUCUAAUACCGGAUAUGACACACCAUCUCCUGGUGGUGUGUGGAAAGUUUUGUCGGUCAGGGAUGGGCUCGCGGCCUAUCAGCUAGUUGGUGGGGUAAAGGCCUACCAAGGCGAUUACGGGUAGCCGGCCUGAGAGGGCGACCGGCCACACUGGGACUGAGACACGGCCCAGACUCCUGCGGGAGGCAGCAGUGGGGAAUAUUGCACAAUGGGCGAAAGCCUGAUGCAGCGACGCCGCGUGGGGGAUGACGGCCUUCGGGUUGUAAACCUCUUUUACCACCAACGCAGGCCCCGGGUUCUCUCGGGGUUGACGGUAGGUGGGGAAUAAGGACCGGCUAACUACGUGCCAGCAGAC